rnacentral:tRNA from 1 species
UGGCUCAGACAGUAAAAGCACCUGUUUGCAAUGCAGGAGACCCAGGUUCAGUCCCUGG